GACGAACGCUGGCGGCGUGCUUAACACAUGCAAGUCGAACGAUGAAGCUAGAGCUUGCUCUGGUGAAUUAGUGGCGAACGGGUGAGUAACACGUGAGUAACCUGCCCCGAACUCUGGGAUAACUGCUGGAAACGGUAGCUAAUACUGGAUACGACCUACGAAGGCAUCUUCUGUAGGUGGAAAGAAUUUCGGUUCGGGAUGGACUCGCGGCCUAUCAGCUUGUUGGUGAGGUAAUGGCGCACCAAGGCGACGACGGGUAGCCGGCCUGAGAGGGUGACCGGCCACACUGGGACUGAGACACGGCCCAGACUCCUACGGGAGGCAGCAGUGGGGAGUAUUGCACAAUGGGCGCAAGCCUGAUGCAGCAACGCCGCGUGAGGGAUGGCGGCCUUCGGGUUGUAAACCUCUUUUAGUAGGGAAGAAGCGAAAGUGACGGUACCUGCAGAAAAAGCACCGGCUAACUACGUGCCAGCCGCCGCGGUAA
rnacentral:rRNA from 1 species